UACAGAGGUCCCGAGCGUUGUUCGGAUUCAUUGGGCGUAAAGGGUGCGUAGGCGGCGGGGCCAGUCUGAUGUGAAAUCCUAGGGCUCAACCCUAGAACUGCAUUGGAUACUGCCUUGCUAGAGUACUGGAGAGGGAACUGGAAUUUACGGUGUAGCAGUGAAAUGCGUAGAGAUCGUAAGGAAGGCCAGUGGCGAAGGCGAGUUCCUGGACAGUGACUGACGCUGAGGCACGAAGGCCAGGGGAGCAAACGGG
rnacentral:rRNA from 1 species